UCCUCCCUCGCUCCCUCCCUUCCCCUCGCUCGCUGCCGGCCCGCGGGCGGCUCGGCGGCCAUGCGGGCGGCACAGCCGCGCUCCCGGCAGCAGACUCUGGCCCUGCGGCGGCAGCUCGUCGGCUCUUCUUGCAAGUUGUUUUUUCCUAAUGAUCCAGUGAAGAUCACGAAGGCAAAAGGCCAGUAUAUGUAUGAUGAGAAUGGGAGACAGUACCUUGACUGCAUAAACAACGUGGCUCAUGUUGGGCACUGUCACCCUGAUAUAGUAAAGGCAGCCCAUGAACAGAAUCAAUUGUUAAAUACAAAUUCUCGUUACCUUCAUGACAACUUGGUUGAUUAUGCAGAGAGACUUUCAAAAACACUACCUGAGAAAUUAUGCAUCUUCUAUUUUUUGAAUUCUGGGUCUGAAGCCAACGACCUUGCCCUGCGACUGGCACGGCAGUACACAAAACACGAGGACGUGAUCGUUUUAGACCAUUCUGCCAAUUGUUUUUUAAGUGCUUACCAUGGACAUCUGACAUCUUUGAUUGACAUAAGCCCAUAUAAAUUCAGAAAUCUAGAAGGACAAAAGGAAUGGGUCCAUGUGGCUCCUGUUCCAGACACAUACAGAGGACUUUACAGAGAAGACCAUGAAGAUCCAGUAACAGCCUAUGCUGAUGAAGUAAAAAAUAUUAUUGAGCAUGCACAUAAGAGAGGCAGAAAGAUUGCUGCAUUUUUUGUUGAAUCUCUACCAAGUGUUGGUGGUCAAAUCAUUCCCCCAGCAGGAUAUUUUCAGAAGGUUGCAGAGCAUGUGCACAAAGCAGGAGGUGUAUUUAUUGCUGAUGAAAUUCAAGUUGGCUUUGGUAGGGUUGGCGAGCACUUCUGGGCAUUCCAGCUUCAGGGAGAAGAUUUUAUACCUGAUAUUGUCACUAUGGGGAAGCCAAUAGGAAAUGGGCACCCACUUGCUUGUGUAGCAACAACAAAAGAAAUUGCAGAAGCAUUUGCGGCCACAGGAGUGGAGUAUUUUAAUACAUUUGGUGGGAACCCUGUUUCAUGUGCCAUUGGAUUAGCUGUGUUGGAUGUAAUUGAGAAGGAACACCUUCAGGCUCAUGCCACAGAGGUAGGCAACUUCUUGAUGAAGACACUCAAGGAGCAGCAACUCAAGCAUCCCAUCAUUGGUGAUGUCAGCGUGAGGAGACAGAAGUCUGUAUUACCACAUUUCUUCAGAACAGCAAAACCUUUUUCUAACAGUAGCCAAACAUCAGAGGUUGUGGCUUAUUCAUUGGAGUGGACUUAGUCAAGGACCAAGCAGAAAGGACUCCAGCCACAGCAGAAGCAGAGGAUCUAAUAACAAGACUUAAAGAAAAAUGUAUUCUACUGAGUACAGAUGGGCCAGGAAGAAAUGUGCUGAAAUUCAAGCCCCCAAUGUGUUUUAAUAUGGAGAAUGCAAAAUUUGUUGUGGAGACAAUUGACAAAAUACUAACAGAUAUGGAAAAAGAAUGUCUGAACCAAUAGAAAACAGCUAUUUGUUCCACCUGAGCAGGUUUCAAACAAUGUUCAAGAUCUACUACUAAGAAACAUUAUUCUACUAUAAUAAUGCACAUUUAAUCUUUAUCCUAGCAUGUCUUAGACCAGAUAAGUCACCUUUGAUUUUUCUGUUUUCAUUUAUCAUGUUUUUAGUAAAAGCUCUAGGAGAAAUAAAUUUUACAAGAGCUUGUCUCAACUCUGGCAGUGUGGAAUUAGCUUUUAUUUAAAACUGAUUAUAAAGGAGGGUUUUUCUAAUGGCCACUACAAAAUACAUUUGCUAGAUUUAUGUACUUUCAGGUUAUGACUUUUUCAUAUUAGGAUGAGCCAAUGGAUGUUCUGAUAUUUUCAAGUCUUCAGCUACCUAUGCAAACACCAUUCCAGGUGCCAGUACACCCAGUCCUUCCCAGGACUCUGAUGAGUUUCAGCAGCCAGUGUCAGAACAAGGUCCCUAAAUAGCACUAGAUUCAACAAACACUCUCAAGCCACCAGGUUAAGUCAAAAACUUCAGUUCCAAAUUCCUGACAUCAAACACAAGAGGAAUAGACAGCUGAGGGCUAUGGCUCCCAAACCACUUCUUACAAACACAGUCUGUCCUCAAGAAAUAUCCAAGUAGGAUUAGUAAAUUUAGAGUAGUUUACAGCCAUAAGCAACAACCUUGUGUACAAGCCUUUACUUUCACCAGGCAGUUCUUUGUAUCACAAACUUUUCAUGCAAAGAAGAAAGGGAAAAGCCAGCUCUGCAUUUAAGUACCAGUAUCCUCAGUUCCUGCCUAAGGCCACAUCACCUGUUAAGGAAGCAUUACCUGAGCACCUACUUACAAAAACCACCACAACAACACCAGCUGACAAACUCUUGCUAGGACACUACUAGCCAGGACUGCAGCACAAUGGUCCUGGUACCAUGCAAUUUUCCCACUGGAGGGCCAAGUGCUUGCUAGAAAAAUGUUCUGCUACACCUUAUUUCACAGAAAAAAUAUUUAAAGUAUGUAAUAAAGUAUUUAAAUUUUAAAUCUUGAGACAGUAAUACUUCUAAAUACUGUACUCAUUUGUUUCAGUGGUUUUUUAUUUGCAAGUGUGUCAGGCUGGAGGUAUCAUGGUCCAGCUGUAAAGUUGUCAGCUAUAAGAUUUAAAAACUGAUUUUUUUUUCAAUACUCAAAAGACUUCCACCUAACACCAGAAGAAUCUUACAGACUUCUAAACUUACAAGCAAGUUUUUCUUUUCAAGGACAACCAGCAGGGAGCAGCAGAUUAUAGUCCAUGCAGAAAUAGCUGCACCCCUUGUUAAAAAAACUGGAAAGGUCAUUAGUUACAUGUGUUUGUUUCUUGUCUUAGUUACUUGGUUUGAUUCCACUUCCAGGGGUUACUUUUUCAAAGAGAAUUUGUUACAAGAAAAACAUAUUGCCAGAUUUUAGCUUUAAAAUGAGAUUAAUAUCAAAUUGAUCACUGCAACAAAGAUUAGAAGUUUACUUUGUGCAGUAGAACUUGCUACUUAUAUUCUGCAACAAGACAGGCAAAUCACAUGACAGUUAUUGCCUUAAAAUAGCAUUAAACUAACAGUAAAGUCAAAAAAGGAGAGUAUUUCUAGCUGGUCACUCAUCUCUAGAGAAAGAGAUGGUUUUUUCCACCCACAACUGCAGUGGAAGUUCUUUUAGCCUUUUCUAUUAUACAAAAAGGCUGCAAAAAUUCAGACUUUGCAUUGGUAAUUGAAUGUCUGUCCAACCUGCCGUUCAAGGCAGUUAUAUACAGCCUAUUAGCAACUUGCAGAACAGUCUCAGACUCAAGACAGUGAAAUAUGGAGGAAGUGCAGCCAGCUUCUUGAACACCUCUUGGCUCCCUCCUGCAGUGCUGUCCAGACUCCCAAGCCCUACCUGAAACCUACAGCUCCAGCUUCUCCUAGCAGAGCCCAAAGCACACACCACUCCAGUUACUCUGAGCCUCUGUGCUUGCCUAGAGCAGAGCCACCACAUCACCAGCACAGCCCCACCACAGCUGGGGCUUCUCACCUGAGCUCUCCUCCACAACCUCCAGGCCAGCAAGUUUUAGCUGCCACUUAAGCUGCAAGUGAGCACAACUACCAACACAGCCUUCUAGUUUUAAGAUUAAAAACAUUUAAGCUCAACUCAAUCUAUCAAGGUACUGCCAUGAACUAAGUUCUGGGAACAGGAUACUGGUGUUUUACUAUCACAUGAGCUGAAGAAUGGCACAAGACACUAGAUUA